AACGAACGCUGGCGGCAUGCCUAACACAUGCAAGUCGAACGAGACCUUCGGGGCUAGUGGCGCACGGGUGCAUAACGCGUGGGAACCUGCCCUUAGGUUCGGAAUAACUCCCCGACAGGGGUGCUAAUACCGGAUAAUGUCUUCGGACCAAAGAUUUAUCGACUUUGGAUGGGCCCGCGUUGGAUUAGCUAGUUGGUAGGGUAAAAGCCUACCAAGGCGACGAUCCAUAGAUGGUCUGAGAGGGUGAUCAGCCACACUGGGACUGAGACACGGCCCAGACUCCUGCGAGAGGCAGCAGUGGGUAAUAGUAGACAAUGGGCGAAAGACUGAUCCAGCAAUGCCGCGUGAGUGAUGAAGGCCUUAGGGUUGUAAAGCUCUUUUACCCGGGAUGAUAAUGACAGUACCGGGAGAAUAAGCGCCGGCUGACUCCGUG
rnacentral:rRNA from 1 species